rnacentral:sRNA from 2 species
AUCGCUGCUAAUCUAUCGCUGCUGCCAACCUAUCUACCGCUGCCAAUCUACCUAUCGCUGCCAAUCUAUCUACCACUGCUAAUCUAUCGCUGCUAAUCUAUCGCUGCUAAUCUAUCGCUGCUAAUCUAUUGCUGCUAAUCUAUCUAUCACUGCUAAUCUAUCGCUGCCAACCUACCUACCGCUGCCAACCUACCUACCGCUGCCAACCUACCUACCACUGCUAAUCUAUCACUGCUAAUCUAUCACUGCCAACCUAUAUAGGGUAAAUCAUGGUCCCAUUUGGUCCCAUUUUGUAAAAUGAGACCAAAUGGGACUGGGAUCACUAAUUUAUUAGUAAAACAUGAUCUGGGACUAGAUUUAUAAUAUAAACAGUGUAAAGUGACUAAUUUACUAAACACUAUAUGGGACCAGGACUAAGAUAUCUAAUAAUGGGACUGAGGAAAAAUUUGGUCCCAGUCCCAUGCAUGGUCACACAGCCAGUCUAAGUG